AUUCUGAAUGUGCAAGACUGAGAGCCCACAGCCGAAGAUAUGAGGCAGUGUUUGAGACUGCUCCAAGGACAAACUCAAUUGUGUGUAUGAGUUGAUGGACAAAAACUUCACUGAAUUCAAACUCUUCAUGGUCAUGCGAACCAUGAUCAGCUUCUAUCUCCAGUGAGUCAUCAGUGUGCUGAAGCAUGGUGUAGGUUUGGCCUUGAUGUCUCCCUUCAUGUUGCUUCUUCAAAAGAAAAGGCUUUGGCAAUAACAUCCACGGAACAGAUACAAAUGCCAACAAGAGUAACACAAGCUGGACAGUUUUCUGAGCAGGGAAAAGCUCAUUCUCACCAAGCUCAUCUGUGGGGCUAAGGAACAUAUAAAUCAUGACAUGGUAUAAAUCUGCUUUCGAACCAGUACACCAUUUCACGAUAAUUAGGAGCGAGAGAUAACCGAACAGACUGUUUAAAAAGAUCAGCUGCGGAAGAAACUGGAACCAGAUAUUAAUAUUAUUGUGAAAGAACUUUCCGUUGAAAUAACUCAUGACAAUACCAAGGUUCAUCUGUGCUACCCCAAGAAGGAUUGACAUCUUCAUCUUCAAUGAAUUGAGGAACGGCAACUCGCUUCGGCUACCAUGCCACACGGGAUCCACACCAAAUGGAUAGGUGCGUCUCACCUUGAUCAAGCCUGCAGUGGUAGCAUCCCAGCAGGAAGCAUCACGGCAUGCAUAGGCAGAUUUACCAAAUAUCUCAAGUGGGACGGAAAAGAACUCAUUGUAAAUAAAUCCCGUGUAGAUUGAGAACACCGACAUCAUCAGAAUUACAUAACGACCCCCAAAAGUCAUUUCCAUGAUAUCUCCCAGCUUCUGAGAUAAUAGUUUCUUUUCUCGAAAUAACAUAUACAAUGUCGCGGCUAGUAAGCACAAUCCGUGACCCCAAUCCCCAAACAUG
rnacentral:misc_RNA from 1 species